UGGGCAACCUGCCCUCAGCUCUGGGAUAACCCCGGGAAACCGGGGCUAAUACCGGAUACGACCUCCGCGGGCAUCUGCGGAGGUGGAAAGGUUUUCCGGCUGAGGAUGGGCCCGCGGCCUAUCAGCUAGUUGGUGGGGUGAUGGCCCACCAAGGCGAUGACGGGUAGCCGGCCUGAGAGGGUGACCGGCCACACUGGGACUGAGGCACGGCCCAGACUCCUACGGGAGGCA
rnacentral:rRNA from 1 species